rnacentral:rRNA from 5 species
CCAAACCAACAAGCUUGCUUGUUGGGGUUGUAGGACACUCUAUACGGAGUUACAAAGGACGACAUUAGACGAAUCAUCUGGAAAGAUGAAUCAAAGAAGGUAAUAAUCCUGUAGUCGAAAAUGUUGUCUCUCUUGAGUGGAUCCUGAGUACGACGGAACACGUGAAAUUCCGUCGGAAUCUGGGAGGACCAUCUCCUAAGGCUAAAUACUCUCUAGUGACCGAUAGUGAACCAGUACCGUGAGGGAAAGGUGAAAAGCACCCCGGAAGGGGAGUGAAAUAGAACCUGAAACCGUGUGCUUACAAGUAGUCAGAGCCCGUUAAUGGGUGAUGGCGUGCCUUUUGUAGAAUGAACCGGCGAGUUACGAUUUGAUGCAAGGUUAAGCAGUAAAUGUGGAGCCGUAGCGAAAGCGAGUCUGAAUAGGGCGUUUAGUAUUUGGUCGUAGACCCGAAACCAGGUGAUCUACCCUUGGUCAGGUUGAAGUUCAGGUAACACUGAAUGGAGGACCGAACCGACUUACGUUGAAAAGUGAGCGGAUGAACUGAGGGUAGCGGAGAAAUUCCAAUCGAACCUGGAGAUAGCUGGUUCUCUCCGAAAUAGCUUUAGGGCUAGCCUCAAGUGAUGAUUAUUGGAGGUAGAGCACUGUUUGGACGAGGGGCCCCUCUCGGGUUACCGAAUUCAGACAAACUCCGAAUGCCAAUUAAUUUAACUUGGGAGUCAGAACAUGGGUGAUAAGGUCCGUGUUCGAAAGGGAAACAGCCCAGACCACCAGCUAAGGUCCCAAAAUAUAUGUUAAGUGGAAAAGGAUGUGGCGUUGCCCAGACAACUAGGAUGUUGGCUUAGAAGCAGCCAUCAUUUAAAGAGUGCGUAAUAGCUCACUAGUCGAGUGACACUGCGCCGAAAAUGUACCGGGGCUAAACAUAUUACCGAAGCUGUGGAUUGUCCUUUGGACAAUGGUAGGAGAGCGUUCUAAGGGCGUUGAAGCAUGAUCGUAAGGACAUGUGGAGCGCUUAGAAGUGAGAAUGCCGGUGUGAGUAGCGAAAGACGGGUGAGAAUCCCGUCCACCGAUUGACUAAGGUUUCCAGAGGAAGGCUCGUCCGCUCUGGGUUAGUCGGGUCCUAAGCUGAGGCCGACAGGCGUAGGCGAUGGAUAACAGGUUGAUAUUCCUGUACCACCUAUAAUCGUUUUAAUCGAUGGGGGGACGCAGUAGGAUAGGCGAAGCGUGCGAUUGGAUUGCACGUCUAAGCAGUAAGGCUGAGUAUUAGGCAAAUCCGGUACUCGUUAAGGCUGAGCUGUGAUGGGGAGAAGACAUUGAGUCUUCGAGUCGUUGAUUUCACACUGCCGAGAAAAGCCUCUAGAUAGAAAAUAGGUGCCCGUACCGCAAACCGACACAGGUAGUCAAGAUGAGAAUUCUAAGGUGAGCGAGCGAACUCUCGUUAAGGAACUCGGCAAAAUGACCCCGUAACUUCGGGAGAAGGGGUGCUCUUUAGGGUUAACGCCCAGAAGAGCCGCAGUGAAUAGGCCCAAGCGACUGUUUAUCAAAAACACAGGUCUCUGCUAAACCGUAAGGUGAUGUAUAGGGGCUGACGCCUGCCCGGUGCUGGAAGGUUAAGAGGAGUGGUUAGCUUCUGCGAAGCUACGAAUCGAAGCCCCAGUAAACGGCGGCCGUAACUAUAACGGUCCUAAGGUAGCGAAAUUCCUUGUCGGGUAAGUUCCGACCCGCACGAAAGGCGUAACGAUUUGGGCACUGUCUCAACGAGAGACUCGGUGAAAUCAUAGUACCUGUGAAGAUGCAGGUUACCCGCGACAGGACGGAAAGACCCCGUGGAGCUUUACUGUAGCCUGAUAUUGAAAUUCGGCACAGCUUGUACAGGAUAGGUAGGAGCCUUUGAAACGUGAGCGCUAGCUUACGUGGAGGCGCUGGUGGGAUACUACCCUAGCUGUGUUGGCUUUCUAACCCGCACCACUUAUCGUGGUGGGAGACAGUGUCAGGCGGGCAGUUUGACUGGGGCGGUCGCCUCCUAAAAGGUAACGGAGGCGCUCAAAGGUUCCCUCAGAAUGGUUGGAAAUCAUUCAUAGAGUGUAAAGGCAUAAGGGAGCUUGACUGCGAGACCUACAAGUCGAGCAGGGUCGAAAGACGGACUUAGUGAUCCGGUGGUUCCGCAUGGAAGGGCCAUCGCUCAACGGAUAAAAGCUACCCCGGGGAUAACAGGCUUAUCUCCCCCAAGAGUUCACAUCGACGGGGAGGUUUGGCACCUCGAUGUCGGCUCAUCGCAUCCUGGGGCUGUAGUCGGUCCCAAGGGUUGGGCUGUUCGCCCAUUAAAGCGGUACGCGAGCUGGGUUCAGAACGUCGUGAGACAGUUCGGUCCCUAUCCGUCGUGGGCGUAGGAAAUUUGAGAGGAGCUGUCCUUAGUACGAGAGGACCGGGAUGGACAUACCUCUGGUGUACCAGUUGUCGUGCCAACGGCAUAGCUGGGUAGCUAUGUGUGGACGGGAUAAGUGCUGAAAGCAUCUAAGCAUGAAGCCCCCCUCAAGAUGAGAUUUCCCAACUUCGGUUAUAAGAUCCCUCAAAGAUGAUGAGGUUAAUAGGUUCGAGGUGGAAGCAUGGUGACAUGUGGAGCUGACGAAUACUAAUCGAUCGAAGACUUAAUCAA